rnacentral:rRNA from 1 species
GUGACGGUACCAUUUGUAAGCUCCGGCUAACUCCGUGCCAGCAGCCGCGGUAAUACGGGGGGAGCAAGCGUUGUUCGGAUUUACUGGGCGUAAAGGGCGCGUAGGCGGCCAGCGCAAGUCAGUUGUGAAAUCUCCGGGCUUAACUCGGAAAGGUCAACUGAUACUGCGCGGCUAGAGUGCAGAUGGGGCAACUGGAAUUCUCGGUGUAGCGGUGAAAUGCGUAGAUAUCGAGAGGAACACCUGCGGCGAAGGCGGGUUGCUGGGCUGACACUGACGCUGAUGCGCGAAAGCCAGGGGAGCGAACGGGAUUAGAUACCCCGGUAGUCCUGGCCUUAAACGAUGGAUGCUUGGUGUCUGGGGUUUUAUAGUCCCCGGGUGCCGCAGCUAACGCGUUAAGCAUCCCGCCUGGGGAGUACGGUCGCAAGACUGAAACUCAAAGGAAUUGACGGGGACCCGCACAAGCGGUGGAGCAUGUGGUUCAAUUCGACGCAACGCGAGGAACCUUACCAGGGCUAGAAUGCCUCUGACAACCUUAGAGAUAGGGCUUCUUAGGGAAACCUAGGCAGAGUGCAAGGUGCUGCAUGGCUGUCGUCAGCUCGUGUCGUGAGAUG